AGAGUUUGAUCCUGGCUCAGAACGAACGCUGGCGGCAGGCCUAACACAUGCAAGUCGAACGCCGUAGCAAUACGGAGUGGCAGACGGGUGAGUAACACGUGGGAACAUGCCCUUCGGUUCGGAAUAACUCAGGGAAACUUGAGCUAAUACCGGAUACGUCCGCGAGGAGAAAGAUUCAUCGCCGGAGGAUUGGCCCGCGUCCGAUUAGCUAGUUGGUGAGGUAAUGGCUCACCAAGGCGACGAUCGGUAGCUGGUCUGAGAGGAUGAUCAGCCACACUGGGACUGAGACACGGCCCAGACUCCUACGGGAGGCAGCAGUGGGGAAUAUUGGACAAUGGGCGCAAGCCUGAUCCAGCCAUGCCGCGUGAGUGAUGAAGGCCCUAGGGUUGUAAAGCUCUUUCGCCAGGGACGAUAAUGACGGUACCUGGAGAAGAAGCCCCGGCUAACUUCGUGCCAGCAGCCGCGGUA
rnacentral:rRNA from 1 species